AUUUAGUAAAAUCGUAACAAUACAUUAUAACUCUUUUAGGAUCGCAAAGAAGACUUAGCGAUAACUUUAACGGUAUUCACCAUUCUCUAAGCAUGGUAUACCGAUUUUCGGAUCACAAAUAAUAUUUAGCGAUAACGAUAUUUCAACGAUUUUCGCUAUCGCUGUAGGCAUAAGCUACUCGACUAAUCGCUAACUAAGCGACGAAUAUUUUUGAGUUGUUAGUUGUUGAAAUAACAAUAUUUUGUCGAUAUAUAUUGUUAUUUCAUUAAGGAUAAAGAAAUUCCUUUGUCUAAGUUAUACAAAAAUUAAAAUAAACAGAAAACAAAAAUAGUUCUUCAUUGGGUAGAAGUUUGCUUCGUUUGUACACUAUUAAAAUAUUUGAAGGAUCUAACUGCCUUGCGAUACUUUGCAACUGGGAGCUUCCAACGUCCCGUCGGAGAGCAAUAGUGAAUACUUUAUGCAAGUCGUCAGUAAGCGUGACAGAAGCAGUCAACCGUUUAAUGUUUCCUGCGAAGGUUAGAUUUCCCAUGACUUCGCCACUUGUUGGAGGUACAAUCGGGGCUAUCGAUUGCGAAGAAGCCUAUGUCAACCUUCAUGGACACCAUUCUACCAAAGUGCAAAUGUUGACAGUAAAUUUUUUUCUAUUGAAGUAACAAAGUUCAUUUUAUUUGUACAUAGAUAUGUGAUCUAUUUCGCAAGUCUACGGCGGCGAAUGCCAAGUACCCAAGAGCACCCUAACAUGUUUUUGAUUUGAUAAACUUCGUAAUGCAUUAGUAUUCAUUGAAUAAUAAUAAUUUCUAUAACGAAUUUAA